rnacentral:rRNA from 1 species
UACGUAGGGGGCAAGCGUUGUUCGGAAUCACUGGGCGUAAAGGGAGCGUAGGUGGGAUCGUAAGUUAGAAGUUUAAUCCACAGGCUUAACCUGUGAUCUGCUUUUAAUACUGCGGUUCUUGAGUGAGGAAGAGGGAGAUGGAAUUCCAGGUGUAGCGGUGGAAUGCGUAGAUAUCUGGAAGAACACCAGCAGCGAAGGCGGUCUCCUGGUCCUAUACUGACACUGAGGCUCGAAAGCUAGGGGAG